rnacentral:antisense_RNA from 1 species
CUUUUACUCUCCUCUGAGGAUCUGUGUUUCCUCAGAGUGCGAACUCUCUGCCUCCCCAGCUAGUGGAGGUGUCUGGAGGCCCAGCUUUGCAGGCCUGGGCCCCUGCUGGCCUUGGGAAUUUCAAAGAGCAGGGAGGGAUGGGUGGGCACACUGGCUCCGAUCUGGAGCCAGGGGCUAUUUGUUCCUCUAAGGCCCUGGGACAGUAGCUGCGGGGAAAGGAAAGCAGCAGUCCACCUGCCCUGGAAGGGGAGGGUCCCGGAUGUGCUUGCUGGUACUGGAGUUGACUAGUUUGAUGCCUGACCCAUUUUUAGAUUUGUUAUUUUGGUAGUCUCCUAACGAUGUGGGCUUUAAAAAUGGUGUUCCCAGCUUGGGCAAUAAACAUGUGUAUUUGGA